ensembl:lncRNA
GUGGAAGUUUUCAUGGACUCAAUCCCCCGAGUCUUGAAAGAUGCAGAAAUAACAUUGGGUGGCAGAGUGAUGGUGAUGUUGAGUAGCAUUCACUUUGAGAGAACAAAAUGAAAGAGAAACAGAAGUAAAGGCGGAGUCAAUGAAGCUGCCCGUCUAUUUCAGGCACAUCCUACAGACACAAGGGAUAGAAGUCUGCCAACUGGACACAACCAGAAAGGUCAUCAAUGUAGAAGAUCGUUCCUUUUCUCUAUUGAAAAUCUACUUAAGUCCUCAGAGACUCAAGUUAACAGACAAGAUGGAUGGCAGAAGAUGAAGACCAUGUGGCAGGAAGCACCACAGUCCUGUGGAACUUGUUUGCAAGGAAAGUUUCUGUUGCACAGCCCAUUCCAUGGGCCAUAAGCAAGAGCGAUUUUCUGCAGAGCACAAACUUGGGCAGUGACUGUGUGGUGGUGCUGCACAGAGCAAAGAUGAGAGCUUUUGAACAACAUGAGUCUAUUUCCAGUAAGGGGGCACUUUUUCAACCACUUUCACUGAAUGACACUGAAUGACGUCUAAUUCAUCCUUGCCACUAGAUGACAGCACAGCAACACACAUCCAUGAAGAAAUCAGUAUUUUGCUAUGGGUUAAGAAUUCCUGGAGAAACAGGACUC